ACGGGAGGCAGCAGUGGGGAAUAUUGGUCAAUGGACGGAAGUCUGAACCAGCCAUGCCGCGUGAAGGAAUAAGGCCCUAUGGGUCGUAAACUUCUUUUGACGGGGAGCAAUAAGGCGUACGUGUACGCCGAUGAGAGUACUCGUCGAAUAAGCAUCGGCUAACUCCGUGCCAGCAGCCGCGGUAAUACGGAGGAUGCAAGCGUUAUCCGGAUUUACUGGGUGUAAAGGGCGUGUAGGCGGAGCUGCAAGUCAGAUGUGAAAUCCCGGGGCUCAACCCCGGAACUGCAUUUGAAACUGUAGCCCUUGAGUAUCGGAGAGGCAAGCGGAAUUCCUAGUGUAGCGGUGAAAUGCGUAGAUAUUAGGAGGAACACCAGUGGCGAAGGCGGCUUGCUGGACGACAACUGACGCUGAGGCGCGAAAGCGUGGGGAGCAAACAGGAUUAGAUACCCUGGUA
rnacentral:rRNA from 1 species